GUGAGGAAUAUUGCGCAAUGGACGAAAGUCUGACGCAGCCAUGCCGCGUGAAGGAUUGACGGCCCUAUGGGUUGUAAACUUCUUUUGUAUAGGAAUAAACCCUCGUUCGUGAACGAGGCUGAAGGUACUAUAAGAAUAAGCACCGGCUAACUCCGUGCCAGCAGCCGCGGUAAUACGGAGGGUGCAAGCGUUAUCCGGAUUUAUUGGGUUUAAAGGGUCCGUAGGCGGAUCGUUAAGUCAGUGGUGAAAUCCUACCGCUCAACGGUAGAACUGCCAUUGAUACUGGCGAUCUUGAGUAUGUAUGAAGUUGGCGGAAUGUGUGGUGUAGCGGUGAAAUGCUUAGAUAUCACACAGAACACCGAUUGCGAAGGCAGCUGACUAAUACACAACUGACGCUGAGGGACGAAAGUGUGGGGAUCAAACAGGAUUAGAAACCCUGGUAGUCC
rnacentral:rRNA from 1 species